UGAAUUUUAUUACAUUUAUAGUUGUACAACAAUCAUCACAACCUAAUUUUAUAGCAUUUCCAUCCCAGACCCCCAGUGUGCCCCCCACCCCCAACCUGUCUCCUUUGGAAAGCAUCAGUCUUUCAGAGUCUGCAUCAGUGUCUGUUGUGCAAAGAAGUUCAGUGUGUCCUGUUUUAGAUCCCACAUGGAAGUGAAAGCAUUCGAUGUUGGUGACUGACCUCGCUUAGCACAAUAAUUUCUAGGUCCAUCCGUGUUGCUGCAAAUGCCGUUCUUUCUUUCCUUUCAACGGCUGAGUCGCAGUCCAUUGUGUGUAUGGACCACAUCUUAACCCACUGGUCUGGGUAGAUGUUCAGCUUGUUUCCAUGUUUGGCUGCAGUGAGCACAGGGGUACGUGUAUCUUUUCUGUUUUUUCUUUUCCAUGUAUCUUUUUGAAUGAAAGGUUCUUCUGCAUAUGUGCCCAGGAGUGGGAUUGCUGGAUCGUAUGGUAGUUGUGUAGUUUUCUGCGGAAUCUCCAUGCUGUUUCAUAGUGGUUGGACCAUAGGAGGACACCCUUUCUCCACCCCGCCUCCAGCAUUUGGUAUUUAUAGACUUACUAAUGACGGCCAUUCUGACCAGUGUAAAGUGUUACCUCAUUGUAGUUUUGAUUUGUGUUUCUGUAAUAAUUAGUGAUGUUGAGCAUUUUUUCUUGGGCCUGUUGGCCAGCUAAUAUGUCUUCCUUGGAGAAAUGUCUUUUUAGGUCUUCUGCCCAUUUUUCAUUUGGGUUAUUUAUUCAUUUAUCUUUUGGUGUCAAGUUGUAUGAGUUAUUUGUAUAUUCUGGAGAUCAAGCCCUUCUCGGUUGCAUCAUUUGAAACUAUUUUCUCCUAUUCCGUAGAUUGUCUUUUCAUUUCAUUAACUGGAGUUCUUUUGUAAAAAAGAGCAGUUCUUUGUCCACCAUUUAUUCAGUUAUUUAUAUCAGUGUGGAUUUGUGGGUGUUUGAUUCUAUGAGUCAUAACCAGGUAACUGUUACUCUGUUGCUCAGACUGUUAAGGUUCCUCCUGUCUGUCCCCUUUUGACCUGCUGUGUCCUUUUUUAAGCAUUUCGGGACUCUGGCACCGCCAGAGGCUCCAGGCUCCUUUCACGGAGACUGGUAUGUAGCCACCAAGAUCUCGCCCGUGGGUGUGCUCAUUGCUCCAGGGCUGUUACUGCUUCGGGGCCCUUCCCAGACAGAGCUGGAAAGUACAUAUACUAAGUCAUGCACAUAAACCUGUGUUCACUUCUGUAAUGAGCUAGCUGUAUACAUUUAAAAAGCUGUGAGCUCAGCAGCUCAGCGGUUUAGCAAACCCAACUAGCAUCCCUGAGGAUGCAGGUUCAAUCCCUGUCCUGGCUCAGUGGGUUGAGGAUCCGGCGUUGCCAUGAGCUGUGGUGUAGGUCACAGCUGCGGCUCGGAUCAGGCGUUGCUGUGGCAUAACCUGGCAGCUGUAGUUCCUGUUUGACCCCUAGCCUGGGAACCUUCAUGUGCUGUGGGUGCGGCCCUAAAAAGCCAAACAAUAAUAACAAAAAUGGACAAAAAACUUGAAUAGAUGUUCUACCAUAAGAGACUCUUCAUCAGGGAAAUGAAAUCAGCAUUGAGGCAGCAUGUCACACCCACUCGGACAGCUUCGGUCAAAAAGACAAUGCCAAGUGUUGGCAAGGGUGUGCCCAGUUAGAACCUUCUCUGGAUUGCAAGAUGGUCCAUCCGCCUGCAAAGUGGGGAAUUCCACUCCUCUCGGGAGUGAACCCAGGACAAAGGAACAUGCCUUCAGGCCAGCAAAGUGCAGAUGUUCUGACAGCAAAAAGGAACCCAAAGUCCAUCAACCAGCAAGUGAAUACAGCAAAAUGGGCCACUGUACUUACACAAAAACCAGGACGCUCUAGAUGGAACCCAGACCGUCAGGUGAGCUCGCAGAUGCAAGAUCCUCUAGGUGGUGUGAGUCCACGGACCCCAAACUAACGUCCAGGAAGGAGGAUGUACAGAUGCGGAAAGCGGGACGGGGUUGCCAGGGUCUGGGGUGCGGCGGGGAGGCUGGAGUGGGCACCGACCACAGGCAUCUCAAGGGGACGUUAUUGGAGUGAUCAUUAGGCACGUCCACAGAUUGGCGAGGAAAUCGUUGAAUUGUACACUUUCAGUGGGUGGAUUGUGUAAAGGAUCCCUUAGUGACGCUGUAAGAGAACCGGUUGCCUUUCUGUGUCAUUAAAUACUUUUACUUGAAUAAUGUGAAAAGUUUUCAUUCAUCACAGGGUUUUUUUACUUUGGGGGGUGGUUAGGGCUGCACUCACAGCAAACAUAUGGAUGUUCCCAGGCUAGGGGUCGAAUCGGAGCUGCAGCUGCCAGCUUACACCACAGCCACAGGGUAUCAGAGCUCCAUCUGGGACCUAGGCCACAGCCUGGAGCCAGGCCAGGCCUGUGUCAGGUUCUUAACCCAGAGCCACAACGGGAGCUCCUAGAUGAGAAGUUUGAUGGACAAUGUGCCACUGGAAGAGAAGGAACAACUGGUAGACGCCCUCCCUGAGAGUAACUGUGACUCCUUAGAGACCUCUGAGCCGAGCGCCUCAAAGCCUUUGCUACGGGACCUGACUGCGCUGCUGGGAGCUGCUCCCGCUGUUCCAGACGGCGUGAGUCCCUGUCACAGAGAAGGCAGCUUCCUGCUCACGCUUGUCUGGAGACCUGUGGCCAGAGUGGAGCGGUUCGUAACCUCCUUCCCUGCUGUGGAAUUGUGUGUUGGCUACACCUUCACCUGUCUCCACCCCUGAGACUCUCACCCGCUCUCACGCUUGGGCUCUGUGGCAAACUCUGCCCUUGAACCUGGCCUGGCUGAACUUGGGCUUGGGAGCAAGGAGCCUCAGAAGGCCUCUUGGAGCACUUGCUCGCGGAGUGCAGCUGCCAAAAUGCCACGAGAGAGGGUGUGGAAGGCCCUCGGGCUGACAGUCUCUGGGUUUGCUUCACACUUGCUGCAUGUGGAGAAAGGAGGGCACAGAUCAAACAAGACGGGCCACAAGCUGGUACCUGCAGAAGUGGGUGGCAGGUCCACUGGGCUUCUUAACCCCAUUCUUACUACCUCGCGUGGGGGCUGCCCCCUUGUUCUGGUGCCCCUGUGGGCGCCCAUCACAUUGUACCAGACACGGUCUGUGUCGCCAGCAGGAGAGGCAGCAGUGGCGGCACGUCUGACACGACGCUGUGAGGGACACUAAGGCUGUGUCUUGAGCUUACUCUUGUUCUGAGGCCUCACUCGGGAGGGAGGCCGAAGGAAGCAGGGAACUGAAUCCUCCUCCCCAAAGGGAGGACCCGAGCCUCCUGCCCACAGCGCAGGCAUGAGCUUGAAUUCCUGCAGAUGUCCAAAGACCAAGUCCAUGGUUCCCAGCUUGACCACAGCCUCAUACAAAACCCAAAGCCACAACUACCCUGCAGAGGGGCUCCCUGAUCCUUGGACACUAUGCAAAAUAAUAAAAUUGGUCGUUUCAAGUGGCUAAAUUUCAUGGCCUGCUUUUACACAGCAACAGACGAUGUAUGUAAGAGCCUGGUAUUUUUUUAAAAAGCACUUGGGGGAGUUCCCGGUGUGGGACCCAGCGAAAACAAAUCCGACUAGGAACCAUGAAGUUUUGGGUUCGAUCCCUGGUCUCACUCAGGGGGAUCCGGAGUUGCCCUGACCUGUGGUGUAGGUUGCAGACUAGGCUUGGAUCCCGUGUUGCUGUGGCUGUGGUGUAGGCCAGCAGCUGUAGCUCUGAUGUGACCCGCAGCCUGGGAACCUCCAUAUGCCACGGCUGCGGCCCUAAAAAAAGCGAGAGAAAAAAAAAAAAAAAAGAAUAA
rnacentral:lncRNA from 1 species